GCAGGUGUAGUUUAAUGGUAGAACCUCAGAUUUCCAAUCUGACCGCGAGGGUUCGAUUCCCUUCACCUGCUCCA
rnacentral:tRNA from 1 species